AUUCUUUCGCAGUGGCAGUAUCGUGGCCUAUGAGGGUUGUCUGAGGCAUGAUUAUUGCUAGUUGAAAACUUUACCCAAUACCCCGCUUGCCGACUUGAAAUAUAGUCGAUAAUGGCAAUUUUUGAUGGUCUCUAAGGAGA
rnacentral:snRNA from 1 species